GAUGAACGCUGGCGGCGUGCCUAAUACAUGCAAGUCGAGCGAACAGACGAGGAGCUUGCUCCUCUGACGUUAGCGGCGGACGGGUGAAUAACACGUGGAUAACCUACCUAUAAGACUGGGAUAACUUCGGGAAACCGGAGCUAAUACCGGAUAAUAUACUGAACCGCAUGGUUCAAUAGUGAAAGACGGUUUUGCUGUCACUUAUAGAUGGAUCCGCGCCGCAUUGCUAGUUGGUAAGGUAACGGCUUACCAAGGCAACGAUGCGUAGCCGACCUGAGAGGGUGAUCGGCCACACUGGAACUGAGACACGGUCCAGACUCCUACGGGAGGCAGCAGUAGGGAAUCUUCCGCAAUGGGCGAAAGCCUGACGGAGCAACGCCGCGUGAGUGAUGAAGGUCUUCGGAUCGUAAAACUCUGUUAUUAGGGAAGAACAAAUGUGUAAGUAACUAUGCACGUCUUGACGGUACCUAAUCAGAAAGCCACGGCUAACUACGUG
rnacentral:rRNA from 1 species